rnacentral:sRNA from 1 species
AAAAAAUGCAUUAAAAAUAUUACAAAUAAGAAAUCUUUUUAAAUUAUAAUGUCCAAAAAGUUGCACCUCUCAUAUCAAUAAAUACGUUGCACUGCCACGAAUGUUUAAGCUGAUUGGUAUUUUACUUUUAAGAAUUUCAAAAUUAAUACAGAACAUUUUUAAAACUUUUUAUUUUUUGCUUUUCCAAGAACGUUAACAAAUGACUGUACACUAGCAUUAUUUUAAUGAAUUCCAAGAACCCUAAAGAUCCUUAUCUGUUAUUGUUUUGUGUAUAUAUUAUACAAGUACCUUAUUUUAAAAAAAAAUUAUAUGUGAUCUGGUUUUGAAAGAAUAAAGAAUUGAAUAAAAACAUUCUUCAUUAAC